GAUCCUGGCUCAGGAUGAACGCUGGCGGCGUGCUUAACACAUGCAAGUCGAACGAAGCGAUAGAGAACGGAGAUUUCGGUUGAAGUUUUCUAUUGACUGAGUGGCGGACGGGUGAGUAACGCGUGGGUAACCUGCCCUAUACAGGGGGAUAACAGUUAGAAAUGACUGCUAAUACCGCAUAAGCGCACAGCUUCGCAUGAAGCGGUGUGAAAAACUGAGGUGGUAUAGGAUGGACCCGCG
rnacentral:rRNA from 1 species